rnacentral:rRNA from 1 species
AGAAUCAACGCUGGCGGCGUGCCUAACACAUGCAAGUCGCACGAGAAAGGGGAGCAAUUCCUGAGUAAAGUGGCGCACGGGUGAGUAACACGUGAAUAAUCUACCUCCGAGUGGGGAAUAACUGAGAGAAAUCUUAGCUAAUACCGCAUAACACUUACGAGUCAAAGCAGCAAUGCGCUUGGAGAGGAGUUCGCGGCCGAUUAGUUAGUUGGCGGGGUAAUGGCCCACCAAGACGAUGAUCGGUAUCCGGCCUGAGAGGGCGCACGGACACACUGGAACUGAAACACGGUCCAGACUCCUACGGGAGCAGCAGUGGGGAAUUUUGCGCAAUGGGGGAAACCCUGACGCAGCAACGCCGCGUGGAGGAUGAAGCCCUUGGGGUGUAAACUCCUUUCGAUCGGGAAGAUAAUGACGGUACCGAUAUAAGAAGCCCGGCUAACUUCGUGCCAGCAGCCGC